rnacentral:rRNA from 1 species
GACGAACCGUGCGAACGUUGUUCGGAUUCACUGGGCUUAAAGGGCGCGUAGGCGGUCGACCAAGUCUGGGGUGAAAUCUUUCGGCUUAACCGGAAAAGUGCCCCCGAUACUGGCCGGCUAGAGGGAGAUAGGGGCAUGUGGAACUUCCGGUGGAGCGGUGAAAUGCGUAGAUAUCGGAAGGAACGCCCGUGGCGAAAGCGAGGUCCUGGACGUUUUCUGACGCUGAGACGCGAAAGCUAGGGUAGCGAACGGG